AGUCGAGCGGAAGGCCCUUCGGGGUACUCGAGCGGCGAACGGGUGAGUAACACGUGAGCAACCUGCCCUAGGCUUUGGGAUAACCCUCGGAAACGGGGGCUAAUACCGAAUAUGACCUCGCAUCGCAUGGUGUGUGGUGGAAAGUUUUUCGGCCUGGGAUGGGCUCGCGGCCUAUCAGCUUGUUGGUGGGGUGAUGGCCUACCAAGGCGACGACGGGUAGCCGGCCUGAGAGGGCGACCGGCCACACUGGGACUGAGACACGGCCCAGACUCCUACGGGAGGCAGCAGUGGGGAAUAUUGCACAAUGGGCGGAAGCCUGAUGCAGCGACGCCGCGUGAGGGAUGACGGCCUUCGGGUUGUAAACCUCUUUCAGCAGGGACGAAGCGUAAGUGACGGUACCUGCAGAAGGAAGGCGCCGGGCCAACUACGUGCCAGCAGCCCGCGGUAAGACGUAGGGCGCGAGCGUUGUCCGGGAUUUAUUGGGCGUAAAGAGCUCGUAGGCGGCUUGUCGCGUCGACCGUGAAAACCUGGGGCUCAACCCCAGGCCUGCGGUCGAUACGGGCAGGCUAGAGUUCGGUAGGGGAGACUGGAAUUCCUGGUGUAGCGGUGAAAUGCGCAGAUAUCAGGAGGAACACCGGUGGCGAAGGCGGGUCUCUGGGCCGAUACUGACGCUGAGGAGCGAAAGCGUGGGGAGCGAACAGGAUUAGAUACCCUGGUAGUCCACGCUGUAAACGUUGGGCGCUAGGUGUGGGGGGGCCUCUCCGGUUCCCUGUGCCGCAGCUAACGCAUUAAGCGCCCCGCCUGGGGGAGUACGGCCGCAAGGCUAAAACUCAAAGGAAUUGACGGGGGCCCGCACAAGCGGCGGAGCAUGCGGAUUAAUUCGAUGCAACGCGAAGAACCUUACCUGGGUUUUGACAUGGCCCGCAAAACCUCCAGAGAUGGGGGGGUCCUUCGGGGGCGGGUCACAGGUGGUGCAUGGGCUGUCGUCAGCUCGUGUCGUGAGAUGUUGGGUUAAGUCCCGCAACGAGCGCAACCCUCGUUCGAUGUUGCCAGCGCGUUAUGGCGGGGACUCAUCGAAGACUGCCGGGGUCAACUCGGAGGAAGGUGGGGAUGACGUCAAGUCAUCAUGCCCCUUAUGUCCAGGGCUUCACGCAUGCUACAAUGGCCGGUACAAUGGGCUGCGAUACCGUGAGGUGGAGCGAAUCCCAAAAAGCCGGUCUCAGUUCGGAUCGGGGUCUGCAACUCGACCCCGUGAAGUCGGAGUCGCUAGUAAUCGCAGAUCAGCAACGCUGCGGUGAAUACGUUCCCGGGCCUUGUACACACCGCCCGUCACGUCACGAAAGUCGGCAACACCC
rnacentral:rRNA from 1 species